rnacentral:rRNA from 2 species
UGGGGAAUAUUGGGCAAUGGGGGAAACCCUUACCCAGCAACGCCGCGUGAGGGAAGAAGGUUUUCGGAUUGUAAACCUCUGUCCUUGAAGACGAAGAAAGUGACGGUAUUCAAGGAGGAAGCCCCGGCUAACUACGUGCCAGCAGCCGCGGUAAUACGUAGGGGGCGAGCGUUGUCCGGAAUUAUUGGGCGUAAAGGGCGUGUAGACGGCUAGCAAAGUUAUGAGUGAAAGCCCCGCUUUCAAGGUGGGAAUUGCUCGUAAAACUGUAGAGCUUGAGUGCAGGAGAGGAAAGCGGAAUUCCAAGUGUAGCGGUGAAAUGCGUAGAUAUUUGGAGGAACACCAGUGGCGAAGGCGGCUUUCUGGACUGUAACUGAAGUUGAGGCGCGAAAGCGUGGGGAGCGAACAGG